CGGGUGAGUAUGUAUGGGAUCUGCCUGAUGGCGGGGAUAACUACUGGAAACGGUAGCUAAUACCGCAUAACGUCGCAAGACCAAAGAGGGGGGCCUUCGGGGCCUCUUGCCAUCGGAUGUGCCCAGAUGGGAUUAGCUAGUAGGUGGGGUAACGGCUCACCUAGGCGACGAUCCCUAGCUGGUCUGAGAGGAUGAUCAGCCACACUGGGACUGAGACACGGCCCAG
rnacentral:rRNA from 1 species